rnacentral:rRNA from 1 species
UACAGGGGGGGCAAGCGUUGUCCGGAAUCACUGGGCGUAAAGGGCGCGUAGGCGGCUCAUGAAGGCUGUGGUGAAAGUCCGGGGCUCAACCUCGGAUCGGCCGUGGCGACUCGUGGGCUGGAGCACUGUAGAGGCGGGUGGAAUUCCGGGUGUAGCGGUGGGAUGCGUAGAGAUCCGGAAGAACACCAGUGGCGAAGGCGGCCCGCUGGGCAGUGGCUGACGCUGAAGCGCGACAGCGUGGGGAGCAAACAGG